AGUGGUUCUUAGAACCAGAAAGAAAACCUCAAUGGCCCUUUUAAUAUUUUGCAUGGCCAAUGAUUAAUAGAUUUCAUAGCUUUCUUGCCUGGCAUAAUUUUAGCCCUGGCACUGGUUCUUAGAACUGGAAAGGCAACCUCAAUGGCACUUUUCUAAUGCUAGAUGUGGCCAUUGAUCCACAAAAGAUUUUAUAGCUUUGUAGCUGUAGAAACUCAGGGGAGGAACAAUUGCACUCUUGCUGCCAAAUGUUCCUCGAAAGAGACAACGCUUCCUGGGCACGACUCAGGAAGAAAGGAAAGCGAAAGAAGAAAAAAGAAGGAAGAAAGAAGAGUUCAAGAAAACGUCUGAAGCUCCAGCUCUGUUAGCCUUUGGCUGUGAUGUGGCCUUAUGCGCUGUGAGCAUCUACUACAGCAUCUUAGAAGACAGAAGGUUCAUUCGUCAGCCUGCAGUGUUGUGGAUGAAAAUGGAAGAAGAAGGAACGGAAAUCAAGAAUGAACAUGAUCUUCAUGAAAAAGACGACUUCACCAAGUAAAUCAAAACUGUAGAUACUAGAUUUUAUACCUUUCUGGCCUGGCGUAAAUUUAGCCUCCAGAAUGAUUUUUAGAACCGGAAAAGAAACUUCAACGGCCCUUUUUAAUGCCAGUUGUGGCUGUUGAACGAUUAUAGAUUUUACAGAUUUUUGCCUGCCAUAAUUUUAGCAUGGCGAUGGUUCUUAGAACCAGAAAUGAAACUUCAGUGGCCUCUUAAAAGGCUAGGCUUGGCUGUUGAUCAAUUAUAGAGUUUAGAGAUUUCUGCCUGGCAUCACUUUAGCCAGGAGGGUGACGGUUCUUUGAACCUGAAUGAAAACCUCAACGGCCUGUUUAAUGCUAGGUGUGGCUGUUGAUCGAUUAUAGACUUUAUAGAUUUCUGCCUGGCAUUACGUUAGCUAAGGCAAUGGUUCUUAGAACCAGAAAAUCUCAAUGGCUAUUUUUAAUGUUUGGUAUGGCCAAUGAAAAAUAAUGGACUUGAGAGUGUUCUUGCCUGGCAUAAUUUUAGCCAUGGCGAUGGUUUUUAGAACCCAAAAAAACCUCAACUGCCAUUUUUAAUGCUAGAUGUGGCUGGUGAUCUAUAAUAUAUUUUAUAUAUUUUAUGCCUGGCAUAAUUUUAGCCCUGGCACUGGUUCUUAGAACCAGAAAGGAAAACUUAAUGGCCAUUUUUAAUGCUAGAUAUGGCCUGUGAUUGAUAAUAGAUUUCAUAGCUUUCUUGCCUGGCAUAAAUUUAGCCCUGGCACUGGUUCUUAGAACCAGAAAGGAAAACUUAAUGGCCAUUUUUAAUGCUAGGUAUGGCCUGUGAUUGAUAAUAGAUUUCAUAGCUUUCUUGCCUGGCAUAAUUUUAGCCCUGGCAGUGGUUCUUAGAACCAGAAAGGAAAACUUAAUGGCCAUUUUUAAUGCUAGGUAUGGCCUGUGAUUGAUAAUAGAUUUCAUAGCUUUCUUGCCUGGCAUAAUUUUAGCCCUGGCAGUGGUUCUUAGAACCAGAAAUAAAACCUCAAUGGCCCUUUUAAUAUUUUGCAUGGCCAAUGAUUAAUAGAUUUCAUAGCUUUCUUGCCUGGCGUAAUUUUAGCCCUGGCACUGGUUCUUAGAACUGGAAAGGCAACCUCAAUGGCACUUUUCUAAUGCUAGAUGUGGCCAUUGAUCCACAAAAGAUUUUAUAGCUUUGUAGCUUUAGAAACUCAGGGGAGGAACAAUUGCACUCUUGCUGCCAAAUGUUCCUCGAAAAAGACAACGCUUCCUGGGCACGACUCAGGAAGAAAGGAAAGCGAAAGAAGAAAAAAGAAGGAAGAAAGAAGAGUUCAAGGAAACGUCUGAAGCUCCAGCUCUGUUAGCCUUUGGCUGUGAUGUGGCCUUAUGCACUGUGAGAGCAUUUACUACAGCAUCUUAGAAGACAGAAGAUUCAUUCCUCAGCCUGCAGUGUUGAGGAUGAAAAUGGAAGAAGAAGGAACGGAAAUCAAGAAUGAACAUGAUCUUCAUGAAAAAGACGACUUCACCAAGUAAAUCAAAACUGUAGAUACCUUUCUGGCCUGGCGUAAAUUUAGCCUCCAGAAUGAUUUUUAGAACCGGAAAAGAAACUUCAACGGCCCUUUUUAAUGCCAGUUGUGGCUGUUGAACGAUUAUAGAUUUUACAGAUUUUUGCCUGCCAUAAUUUUAGCAUGGCGAUGGUUCUUAGAACCAGAAAUGAAACUUCAGUGGCCUCUUAAAAGGCUAGGCUUGGCUGUUGAUCAAUUAUAGAGUUUAGAGAUUUCUGCCUGGCAUCACUUUAGCCAGGAGGGUGACGGUUCUUUGAACCUGAAUGAAAACCUCAACGGCCUGUUUAAUGCUAGGUGUGGCUGUUGAUCGAUUAUAGACUUUAUAGAUUUCUGCCUGGCAUUACGUUAGCUAAGGCAAUGGUUCUUAGAACCAGAAAAUCUCAAUGGCUAUUUUUAAUGUUUGGUAUGGCCAAUGAAAAAUAAUGGACUUGAGAGUGUUCUUGCCUGGCAUAAUUUUAGCCAUGGUGAUGGUUUUUAGAACCCAAAAAAACCUCAACUGCCAUUUUUAAUGCUAGAUGUGGCUGGUGAUCUGUAAUAUAUUUUAUAUAUUUUAUGCCUGGCAUAAUUUUAGCCCUGGCACUGGUUCUUAGAACCAGAAAGGAAAACUCAAUGGCCAUUUUUAAUGCUAGAUAUGGCCUGUGAUUGAUAAUAGAUUUCAUAGCUUUCUUGCCUGGCAUAAUUUUAGCCCUGGCACUGGUUCUUAGAACCAGAAAGGAAAACUUAAUGGCCAUUUUUAAUGCUAGAUAUGGCCUGUGAUUGAUAAUAGAUUUCAUAGCUUUCUUGCCUGGCAUAAUUUUAGCCCUGGCAGUGGUUCUUAGAACCAGAAAGGAAAACUUAAUGGCCAUUUUUAAUGCUAGGUAUGGCCUGUGAUUGAUAAUAGAUUUCAUAGCUUUCCUGCCUGGCAUAAUUUUAGCCCUGGCACUGGUUCUUAGAACUGGAAAGGGAACCUCAAUGGCACUUUUCUAAUGCUAGAUGUGGCCAUUGAUCCACAAAAGAUUUUAUAGCUUUGUAGCUUUAGAAACUCAGGGGAGGAACAAUUGCACUCUUGCUGCCAAAUGUUCCUCGAAAGAGACAACGCUUCCUGGGCACGACUCAGGAAGAAAGGAAAGCGAAAGAAGAAAAAAGAAGGAAGAAAGAAGAGUUCAAGAAAACGUCUGAAGCUCCAGCUCUGUUAGCCUUUGGCUGUGAUGUGGCCUUAUGCGCUGUGAGAGCAUCUACUACAGCAUCUUAGAAGACAGAAGAUUCAUUCCUCAGCCUGCAGUGUUGAGGAUGAAAAUGGAAGAAGAAGGAACGGAAAUCAAGAAUGAACAUGAUCUUCAUGAAAAAGACGACUUCACCAAGUAAAUCAAAACUGUAGAUACUAGAUUUUAUACCUUUCUGGCCUGGCAUAAAUUUAGCCGCCAGAAUGAUUCUUAGAACCGGAAAGGAAACUUCAACGGCCCUUUUUAAUGCCAGUUGUGGCUGUUGAACGAUUAUAGAUUUUACAGAUUUUUGCCUGCCAUAAUUUUAGCAUGGCGAUGGUUCUUAGAACCAGAAAUGAAACUUCAGUGGCCUCUUAAAAGGCUAGGCUUGGCUGUUGAUCGAUUAUAGACUUUAUAGAUUUCUGCCUGGCAUUACGUUAGCUAAGGCAAUGGUUCUUAGAACCAGAAAAUCUCAAUGGCCAUUUUUAAUGUUUGGUAUGGCCAAUGAAAAAUAAUGGACUUGAGAGUGUUCUUGCCUGGCAUAAUUUUAGCCAUGGCGAUGGUUUUUAGAACCC